UUGAUGGAAGAAUUUUCUGGACUGGUUUAUUGCACUUAACAAGAAAAUGGAAACUUGACUUGAGAGAGAAAAAACAUUUCUAAAUGCUGCACACUGCUGGGGGUCAGUUGAUGUGGUCAGUGAAAACGCCAUGGAAGAAAGUGCCUCUUCAGACACACAAAGAGCCCUUGCUCUCCUGACCAACCUGAGUGGACAGCCCACCUGAGCUCUAAGUACGUGAUGGGAAGGACUCACCUGGAUGGCCUGCAUUAUCUGGACCACAGGACAGCAGCGCCUCCCCAGCCUGGCCUGAAUACUGAGACAGCUACUUUCAAGUCCUCAGCUGCCAUGACCCAUCAGCAAUAAUCACUAAACCAACCCUUCCUCCCUUGCCCAGACUCACUUUAUUCAGAGUCUCAUUGGACUUGUGAACUGUCUUUCACUCCACUGGUGAUGGAAAACAUUUGCUUUUUUCAGUGAACAUCUAAGCCACACCCUCCUACUCAAAAUAAACCAUCUCCAAAUAUCCCACCAUCUGCCACCUGUUUCUUCUACAUUUCCCCCUGGUUCCUGAUGCUGGGUCACCAAGGUUACACCCCAACUGUUCCGAUGAUAGCUGGGUGCCAGUGCUGUCCCGUGGAGAAUGCACAAGCCACCUUCACUAGGAACUGCUUCCUCCAGAUCCAGA